UAAGACAGAGGGGGCAAGCGUUGCUCGGAAUCACUGGGCGUAAAGGGCGCGUAGGCGGGAUGACAAGUCGGUCGUGAAAUCCCUGGGCUCAACUCAGGGGGGUCGGCCGAUACUGCCAUUCUUGAGGGAUGCAGAGGAGACUGGAAUUCCCGGUGUAGCGGUGAAAUGUGUAGAGAUCGGGAGGAACACCGGUGGCGAAGGCGGGUCUCUGGGCA
rnacentral:rRNA from 1 species